CAUGUCCUGCGCUAGUGAUGUCUGAGUUCUGAGUGGUUAUGGUUCUAGGUUACACCGCAGCUCUAAAAGUGAGAUUUCCUCUGGAUAAUGUAGACCAGGAAUGCCAGACAGGUCAAUCCUCUAAUAUUGAAGUACAUCUGCCACGAUUCUUUGCCCACCAUGACACCGAUAGUGUUGGCGGAUGGCCACUCUAAGGUACAGGUUGGAUAAGAAAUGAGAGUUCCUCUAAACAUGGCUUUG